rnacentral:rRNA from 1 species
AACGAACGCUGGCGGCAGGCCUAACACAUGCAAGUCGAGCGGGCACUUCGGUGCUAGCGGCGGACGGGUGAGUAACACGUGGGAACGUACCCUUUGGUUCGGAAUAGCCUCGGGAAACUGGGAGUAAUACCGGAUGAGCUCUUCGGAGGAAAGAUUUAUCGCCAAAGGAUCGGCCCGCGUUGGAUUAGGUAGUUGGUGGGGUAAUGGCCUACCAAGCCGACGAUCCAUAGCUGGUUUGAGAGGAUGAUCAGCCACACUGGGACUGAGACACGGCCCAGACUCCUACGGGAGGCAGCAGUGGGGAAUCUUAGACAAUGGGCGCAAGCCUGAUCUAGCCAUGCCGCGUGAGCGAUGAAGGCCUUAGGGUUGUAAAGCUCUUUCAGUGGGGAAGAUAAUGACGGUACCCACAGAAGAAGCCCCGGCUAACUCCGUGCCAGCCGCCGCAGUAAGAC